CCAGGGAUGGUGACUCAUUCACUUUCAUGGACAGCUUUCUCCAAUGCUUGACAACCCUUUCAAUGAAGAGAUUUUUUCAAAUAUACAAUAUAAACCCCCUCUGGUGCAACUUGAGGCAAUUCCCUUUUGACCUGUUUGGGUGAAGACAAUGAGCCCCACCUGGCUACAGCCUCAUUUUCCCCAGGAUAAAUGUCCACAGCUCCCUCAGCCAUUACUUAUAGGACUUGUGCUCCAGACCCUCCACCUGCUUCACUGCCCUUCUCUGGACAUGCUCCAGCAUCUCAGUUUCUGUCUAGUCGUGAAAGGCCCGAAACUGAACACAGGAUUUGACGUGUCGCCACACCAGCACCAAGUAUUUCUAUCACUGCUCUGGGAUUUGUUUAGUGAAAGACCAAGCACUUGUGACCUGAGACAUCAGUUUGGUACAGUUUCCUUGUUUUCUUUGAAGAGGGAAAGAACAUCCAUCUCCAGGCAACCCAGAGGAUACCUUCAUGGACAAAUCACCACGAAGCAAGUGAGGGUGUGGAUUCACAGCAUGUUACCUACUCCACCCGAUGGCUUCUCUUUAGGGUGUAUGGAGGUUCUGCCUCCCUUCCACUGAGAUGCAAACUGCACUCUCCUCAGCAGGGCUGGGAUUACAUGGGCAUCCCAGAGAAGCUGGAUGUGUGUUGGAUGCCUUGCUGCUGUGUACUGUAAUUUCACAAUCUGCCUUAUCUCUUAGCAACUUGUUUGUGUGGUACACACUUGCCAGAGAGAAAGGUUGCACACAAAGAGAAAGGGAGCUUAGAAGGAUAUUACCUGCACCCAGCACUCAGUAUCGUCCUGGUAAGAGGCAAAGCAUAUUUGCAUUUGCGUUGUAGUGUAGCAUAUUUGUUAUUGUGAAACCCCUUUGUGCCGUGAAACGGCCACAAGGAGAAUUUUAGGAAGAGAUUUUAGCCAAGUAAUAUUUUAUAUUGAUUUUUUUUACUGAAAUAUUUUCUACAUGGAUUAGAGACAUUGAGUUAUUCAGUUAUUGCAAGAAGAAAAGGAAUUUAUUUAAUAUUCUACUUCAUGAAUUAAUGAGAAAUUUGGAGAAACUUGUGCAUCUUAAACCAAGGUUGAUUUUUUUAUAUUCUUCCACAAAGUUCUUCAUUAGAUUUUAAGGAAGCAAAUAACAGUACUAAGAAGGUUUAACUCAUCUUGUAUAGCUAUAAAACUGACUGUAUGAAGUGACUAACAUAUUUAACUUAAUUUACAAAAGACCCUUGUUUUCUCUGCUUCUCCCUCCUUUCUUUUAUAAUUUUUCUGUUAUUCACUCUAACUUGUUGUCACUUAGCUUUUCAAUGGUUUCUCCUUUACAUAUGUUUAUAACACUUGACCAAAAUUUUUUGGUUUGUCAAAGAAGAUAGCAGAAAUUAUAUAAUAUAAUAUAAUAAAAUAAAUCAAAUCAAAUCUAUAUCUAUAGUU
rnacentral:lncRNA from 1 species